AAUACCUCUUGGCUGCUGUUAUCGGCACAUGGUAUUGACUGGGAGGUAAACAGACUGGAAAUCUAAGGUCUUUAGAGAGAGUUACAUUGUCAAGUCUGGCUGACAACGACCUUUGAUUACUCCAACCUAAGGCGAUGCCCAAGUUCUAACUGCUAACAUAGUAUAACAUAGUAGAAAAGAGAAGCCCUCUGCCAUGUCCACCUUAGAGGGGUCUUGAGAGGACAAUGGCCCAGGGAAAGCCUCCCACCGUGACUGGCUACCCAAGGAAUGUGCACACUGCCGCAAGAAGAUGCUAGGGACCACACGCCCGUGAUAGCAGCGCGGCUUUCCAGUUUUAUUGUUUUCCCAAUGGAAGGAGUAUGUUUUUGUUUGCUUGAUUUACUUUUUGCAACUCUCAUAUUUUUUCUCCAUAUGUGCGUUGAGACAUAGAUAGCUUAUCAUUUAACAAAUCAAGGCCUGAGACAUCAGCAGAUUCAUCAGCUUUGGAUGAAGAGAAUUUGGAGCCCUGAAAGAUGCUGGACUAGGAGCUGUAAGAAGCACCUGGGUGAAAUCUCAUACCUUGCUCUAGACAUGAGGGCAUCUUCCCAACCCAGGGAUUUGACCUGGGUCUCCUGAGAGACAUGUGUAUUAAUUACUCUGAUCAGCUUUGACAUGCAAAUGUGACAGAAUCGAAUAUUAAGAAAGAUCAGAGGCAGAUGGAAGAUUUUAGUCCAUCACGUCCAAUUCGCCCACUUAACUGCUGAGGAAGUUGAAGCCAAAAGAGAAGACAAGACCCACAGCCAGUUUCCUGGUUCAAAGUCACCCCACAGCAAAUCAACCUACAAGCACAGUGGUUUCCACAGCAGAAGCAGCCAGUUUCUCUCUCAUCCUCCAAAAGAGCUAAAGAACCAGCUUCCCAAUCAGGAAAUCUCGCCUGCAACAGAUGAGAGGCGGUGGAGAUUCUGGUUCAGCCCUCUCUACCCUGACCUGGAACCCCACCACAGAGCACCCACCCCACCUACACGUGUCCCUGACAUGCAUCCUGCCCAGAGAGUUUCCUACCUAGAAACUACGGAUGGCUUUACUGCGCCGUGUCUCUUUUUAUGCCUACAUCUGUGUCAUCUCAGACUGGAAGCUCCCUAACAAGAUAUGUAUUAAAAAUAGAUAACCUUAACAAUAAUAAUAAUACAUUGAGAAUGUACUCUGUUCCCGGCUCUGCGCCAAGCAUGUUCUGGGCACUGUGACCCCAGGUCUGCUGUCGGCCGACCUGGC
rnacentral:lncRNA from 1 species